CCUACGGGUGGCAGCAGUGGGGAAUAUUGGGCAAUGGACGCAAGUCUGACCCAGCAACGCCGCGUGAAGGAAGAAGGCUUUCGGGUUGUAAACUUCUUUUAAGGGGGAAGAGCAGAAGACGGUACCCCUGGAAUAAGCCACGGCUAACUCCGGGCCAGCAGCCGCGGUAAUACGGAGGUGGCAAGCGUUGUCCGGAUUUACUGGGAGGACAGGGCGGGAAGCCGGAGAGGCAAGUCAGAUGUGAAAUCCGCCGGCUCAACCUGCGAACUGCCUUGGAAACUGUUUCCCUUGAGUAUCGGAGAGGUCAUCGGAAUUCCUUUUGUAGCGGUUAAAUGCGUAGAUAUUAGGCAGAACACCAGUGGCUAAGGCGGCUGACUGGACGACAACUGACGGUGCGGCGCG
rnacentral:rRNA from 1 species